rnacentral:rRNA from 1 species
AACAAACGCUGGCGGCGUGUCUUAAGCAUGCAAGUUGAGCGGCAAGGCGGAGCAAUCCGCCCUAGAGCAGCGGACUGGUGAGUAACGCGUGGGUGAUCUGCCUCUGGGAUGGGGAUAGCCACUAGAAAUAGUGGGUAAUACCGAAUGAGGUCAUAGAGUUGCGGCUCUAUGAUGAAAGGCGCUACGGCGCCACCUGGAGAUGAGCCUGCGUCCCAUUAGCUAGUUGGUGGGGUAAAGGCCUACCAAGGCGAUGAUGGGUAGCCGGCCUGAGAGGGUGUACGGCCACACUGGGACUGAGAUACGGCCCAGACUCCUACGGGAGGCAGCAGCUAAGAAUAUUCCGCAAUGGACGGAAGUCUGACGGAGCGACGCCGCGUGGAUGACGAAGGCCGAAAGGUUGUAAAAUCCUUUUGUCGAGGAAGAAUAAGCUAGGGAGGGAAUGCCCUGGUGAUGACAUGAAUCGAUGAAUAAGCCCCGGCUAACUACGUG